rnacentral:rRNA from 1 species
GUCCACGCCCUAAACGAUGCGAACUGGACGUUGGGAGCAAUUAGGCUCUCAGUGUCGAAGCUAACGCGUUAAGUUCGCCGCCUGGGGAGUACGGUCGCAAGACUGAAACUCAAAGGAAUUGACGGGGGCCCCGCACAAGCGGUGGAGUAUGUGGUUUAAUUCGAUGCAACGCGCAGAACCUUACCUGGCCUUGACAUCCACGGAAUCCUUGAGAGAUCAGGGAGUGCCUUCGGGAACCGUGAGACAGGUGCUGCAUGGCUGUCGU